GCAUGCAAGUCGAACGGACCUUAGGGAUGGGUAACCUGAUCUAAGGUUAGUGGCGAACGGGUGAGGAAUACAUGGAUAACGUACCCUGGACACGGGAAUAGCGGCGGAGCUUCGGUUCCUUUGCGAAAGUGCCGGUAAUACCCGAUGAUCCCGCUGGAUCGCAUGAUCCGGCGGGCAAAUGCUCCGGCGGUCUGGGAGCGAUCCAUGUCCUAUCAGCUUGUUGGUGGGGUAACGGCCUACCGAGGCAUCGACGGGUAGCGGGCGUGAGAGCGCGUCCCGCCACAUCGGAACUGAGACACUGUCCGGACACCUACGGGUGGCUGCAGCAACGAAUAUUCCCCAAUGGACGCAAGUCUGAGGGAGCGACGCCGCGUGCAGGAAGAAGUCCUUCGGGAUGUAAACUGCUGUCAGGGGCUAGGAAGAUCUGACCAGCCCCAAAGGAAGCACCGGCUAACUCCGUGCCAGCAGCCGCGGUAAUACGGAGGGUGCAAGCGUUGUUCGGAAUUACUGGGCUUAAAGCGCGUGUAGGCGGAGUAUCAGGUGUCUUGUGAAAGCCCCGGGCUCAACCCGGGAACUGCUGGGCAAACCGGUAUUCUUGAGGCAAGUAGAGGUGAGUGGAACAACUGGUGGAGCGGUGAAAUGCGUAGAUAUC
rnacentral:rRNA from 1 species